rnacentral:rRNA from 1 species
UACGGGGGGGGGCAAGCGUUGUUCGGAAUUACUGGGCGUAAAGGGCUCGUAGGCGGCCAACUAAGUCAGACGUGAAAUCCCUCGGCUUAACCGGGGAACUGCAUCUGAUACUGGAUGGCUUGAGUUCGGGAGAGGGAUGUGGAAUUCCAGGUGUAGCGGUGAAAUGCGUAGAUAUCUGGAGGAACACCGGUGGCGAAGGCGGCAUCCUGGACCGGUAUUGACGCUGAGGCGCGAAAGCUAGGGGAGCAAACGGGG